ACCAUGUAUAUUGAAUUGUGAUUAAACAACCACAAGGAUCAUCUUUGAAUCUCAUCAAAACUGGAGUUCUUUUGAUCGAAGAUUGUAGUGAAGAAGAAGGGUCAAUCGCUGCAAAAGCUACAUAAGCAUUUGACAGAAAAAUGGAGGUACAAUGGCCAUGGUCCUCUCAAGACUGAUGAUCAGAGGAAAAAGAAGCAUAGAGAAGGCAAGUUGAAGCCCCAUCAAGUAGUUAGCUCAAGAGGAGUAUUCCACCCAUGACAAUUGCAUAGCUUCGGUCAAUGUAGAUUCAAAACAACAAAAGAAGGUGUAUCUGUAUGGUGGUCAAGUUACAUCAUGGAAGAAUGAUCAUGGGCAAGAAUUGCUUUUUGUCAACUGCAAGCUACCAUACUUCAUUUAAGUCUUGUUUCUUGAGCAUUAUGGCUUUUGAAACUCAAUAACAUUUAAACAUUUUUGUUAGGGAUGAUUCUAGUGAUUCCCCAAAAGAGAUUUAAGCUAAUGCGUUACUUAAAGUUAUAUAUGUUCUUGCAUAAAUGACCAAAUGUUAGCUCAUAGAUGCAGGGGGCGGAGAGUCUAGAUGACCCUCUAUCCUCGAAGGAUGGUCUUUAGUCCAGCAUAUAGUACCUCAGAUCAAUUGAGUAAUUAUUGAUGUAUGUUGUUUAUUCAUGUAUCGAUCAAACGGUGAAACGCUGGGUUGUUGGUCAAAGGAGCGUGAGCUGGUGGGGAGCUUACACAGGUAAGUGAAGGGCCCCCAUAGGGCAUUUUUAAAGUGUGGCCCACACACGGUCAGGGGGGAAAGAAAUGGGGGAAGGGGGAGCAUAAGGGGAGCCUUAGUUCUUAGAACUGAAUUGGCACUGCUGGAUGCUUUUGAUCAAUAGAAUAGGAACAGGAGUCGUCUACCAAAAAGAAAGACCACAAAAAGUAAUGACCAUCAAGAUAUGCAUAGUGAUUCGAUCUUUUGAUCACCCAUUUGAAAUUCUCCAUAAUUUGAGACCCGAGAAAGUAAUCAACUUCACUGAACUACUGAAGUGGGUCUAAUACAAGUUUUUUUACUAUAUGUCUUACUACCUUUUUGUGUUUUCAUUCAUUAAUGAGUUCACAAACACAUAACAAUGUGCUGGUUUUGAAUUGUUGAGCACACAUGAUUUUUGUGUGAUAUUAUCGAAAAUAUAGUCACUUUUCUC